GUAGGGAACUCGAAAGGGACCGACCCUUCGGGGAGCCUAGUACAGGGUGUUGCAUGGCUGUCGUCAGCUCGUGUCGUGAGAUGUCGGUUAAGUCCGCUAACGAGCGCAACCCUCGUCGUAUGUUAUAUGUGUCAUACGAGACUGCCGGUAAAAGCCGGAGGAAGGUGAGGAUGAUGUCAAGUCAGCAUGACCUUUAUAUCCAGGGCUACACACACGCUACAAUGGUCUGUACAAUGGGUAGCCAAGCCGCGAGGCGGAGCCAAUCCUGAAAGCAGGCCUCAGUUCAGAUUGCAGUCUGCAACUCGACUGCAUGAAGCCGGAGUUGCUAGUAACCGCAGGUCAGCAAUACUGCGGUGAAUACGUUCCCGGGUCUU
rnacentral:rRNA from 1 species